GUGGCUGUGGGAGGGCACCCAUGAGAGAACCUUCUGGAACACACAACCCGCACCUCCUUCAAACAGUUUCUGCAUGGAUUCAUCUGGAAGGCACAUCACAAGGGACAUCUACUGAGCAUUUUGGCCAGGGGAAGCAGCUGCACUAUGAGGUCCGAGGCCGUCUUCAGCUCGACCGCAUCCUCCUCCAGCUUCCCAUCUACUGUCUGGUCCACCAGCUCCAGCAAACACUCCACCAAUCCAGCCUCCACCAGCUGCAGCUUGAUCGGGUCUGGGGAGGGAGGGAAGGAUAGUCAGAAGCACCCCCCCUCCCUACACACACACACCACUGGUACAACAUGACAGACACAUUACAUCACACACGGGUCAGACACAAGCAGAGAGGCGGCAGACUAGGGGGGGUGAGGGAAGAGAAGAUAGGUGGAGAAAUCAAAGAUGUGGAAGCAGGGGCACUGAGACGCUCCCCAUGGAGCUUCCUGCUCUGCUCAGAACAUCCUUAAGAAGAAGGUCGUCUAUGAGAACGUCAUCAACGCGGCAAUCGCAUGAUAACGCCUUACAGGUGAAAACUCGAUAUCUAGCAACGUGUUUUAUUUGGACACGGGGAGCCUUUUCCUAUGACAUCUGAAACCCCAUUGUGAUCUCCGUCUGCCUACAUCUGCCUGAAAAGUCAGCGGAGAGAGAGAGAGAACGGGGGAGCCGCUGGGGUCAUGCAGGGACUCACUGAACAACGAUCUAAAAUCCCUGAGGCAUCUUCAUUCACACCAAACUCUGCAUCUCCACAAAGCCUUAAAGAUGUUGCUGCGGAUGCCAUAUGACAGGUUCAUGGAUGACACUGCUUGCUGGCUGCUUGUUCUCUCUCUUUGCAGCCUCCGAUAAUUCCCUUGUGUCGCCCUGCCCCCCCCCAGGCCUCACCGUUCUCUGCCAGUGGGACGAGGACUUCCAAAAUCAUCUCCUUCUUCUCUGGCUCCACCUGCCUCUGGAGGAGCUUGACCAGCUCCCCAGCGAUGUCCGUGGAGGCAAACUGCUCCUUACUCGACUCUGAGGUUGGGCAAAAACAGAAGGAAGCUACAGAAUGAAAACUGGCUCCACUGAAAUAUGUCCUGAAAUGUUACUCACCUGUGCUACAACUCAUCAGCUGCCAUCCAGAUGCUGACCCUUCUUCUGCAGCCAGAGAGCCACAAUUCUGCCGGCGUUAAUGCACACAUCGUGCCAGGAACAAACAGAAUGCUGGCGAUCGUUAUGGGAACGGUAGUUCAAUUACGCCAAUUCAUUGUCGGAGCGUCAGGUUCGGAGUAUUUACUUCAAUUGUCUGUCUGACUUUGGGGCUGUGGAUUAGCGUUUAGUUACUCUGAAUCAUCGGCAGUACAGGUGCACUUCACUUUACGAUGGUUCAACUUACGAUACUUCGCUUUUACGACGCUGUGAUAGCGAUGCACGUUCGGUAGUCAUCAAACUUUGAAUUUUAACCCGUUCCUGGGCUAGCGAUAUGCCGUAUGAUACAUUCUGCUGAUGCUGGGAGGUGGCAAUAUCCACCCAUCCAUCCACGACUCCAAUCUCUGUAGCCACUGCGAGCAUAAAUAUCUUAUACAGUGUUUAACAACGUAUUAUACAGUGUUUAACAACGUAUCAUACAGUGUUUUGUUUCCUGUUUACCCUAUUAAACUUGAAUUAACUUAUAUACUUUCCAA